GACGAACGCUGGCGGCGUGCUUAACACAUGCAAGUCGAACGGAAAGGCCCUGCUUUUGUCUGGUGCUCGAGUGGCGAACGGGUGAGUAACACGUGAGUAACCUGCCCGUGAUUUUGGGAUAACUUCAGGAAACUGGGGCUAAUACCGGAUAGGAGCUCCUGCUGCAUGGUGUGGGUUGGAAAGUUUCGGCGGUUGGGGAUGGACUCGCGGCUUAUCCGUUUGUUGGUGGGGUAGUUGCUUACCAAGGCUUUGACGGGUAGCCGGCCUGAGAGGGUGACCGGCACCAUUGGGACAGAGAUACGGCCCGGAGUCCUACGGGAGGCAGCAGUGGGGAAUAGUGCCCGAUGGGCGGAAGCCGGGUGCAGCAACGCCGCGUGCGGGAUGACGGCCUUCGGGUUGUAAACCGCUUUCGCCUGUGACGAUGAGUCAGUGACGGUAAUGGGUAAAGAAGCACCGGCUAACUACGUG
rnacentral:rRNA from 1 species